rnacentral:rRNA from 1 species
UACGUAGGGGGCUAGCGUUGUCCGGAAUCAUUGGGCGUAAAGAGCGUGUAGGCGGCCCGGUAAGUCCGCUGUGAAAGUCGGGGGGCUCAACCCUCGAAUGCCGGUGGAUACUGUCGGGCUAGAGUGCGGAAGAGGCGAGUGGAAUUCCUGGUGUAGCGGUGAAAUGCGCAGAUAUCAGGAGGAACACCAAUUGCGAAGGCAGCUCGCUGGGACGUAACUGACGCUGAGGAGCGAAAGCGUGGGGAGCAAACAGG